AUUCAACUAGUUCUUUGAUUAUGCCAAAUAAAAAUGCCAAGAUCCAGCAGUAAGAACAGGGUGGUGAACUUCAAGAAAACCCUCAUCAGGAAACUACAUGUCAGAAUUAUGAUAAGAAUCGUAUCUUCUACUCAAAAUCUCCAAAGCAAAAUUGAAAUGCAAGUAACAGAGAGCUAAAAUCAAAGGCCGAGUCCAUCAAAGAUCCAAGAACAAGAUUCUGAUGGGUGCAGAGCAUAGGAUUAAGCAGUGGCAGUUGCAUUAGCAGCAGCCAAGCGCUUUCUUGCCUCUUCAAUGAUGCUGAGCUUGAUACCCUUGCCCUUGGGAAGAGACACCCAUGGCUUAGUCGCCUUACCAAUGGUGAAGACAUUGCCCAAGCGAGUCGCAAACUCAUGCCCAGUAGCAUCUUGGAUGUGGAUGGUCUCAAAACUCCCCUUGUGCUUCUCCCUGUUCUUAAUCACGCCGACACGACCGGUGUUUCUUCCGCCGGUCACCAUCACAACAUUUCCAACAUCGAACUUGAUGAAGUCUACAAUCUUGUUGGUUUCCAGAUCAAGCUUGAUGGUGUCAUUGGCCUUGAUGAGAGGGUCGGGGUAGCGAAUGGUACGACCAUCGUAGGUGUUUAAAUAGGGGAUGCCCUUCUGUCCAAACUGGACAGAGCGAACCUUGCAGAGCUUGAACUGUAAAGGGAAAAAAAAACCUUUUUAUCAUCAUGAAAGAGGCAAUAAUCAACACAAAUGAUCACAUAUUCGCUUCUCUGAAGACAUUGUCCAUCCAUAGAACAUGACAAUGUUUUUACCUGCAUAGCACUGCUGCUAAUGUUCAUUGUGUUUUAGUAGUUAUUGAACAAAAACAUUCAGCAUUUCACUAUAUGCAUGGAUCUUCAAAAUAUUAGCAAAUGUGAUUAUUAUAAUAAUGUAACAACACCAGAGGAGCUAAUGAGACGGCAUGACUAAUCCUAGACAGAUUUUCUCAUCUAGUUGAAAGCUUAAUCAAUCCAAAACUUGAUAACCAAUAAUCAAACAUCAUCAGUAUUUUGAAGCAAGUAAAACA
rnacentral:lncRNA from 1 species